UUUACACAUGGAGCAGGAAGCCCCACACUAUUUCUAUCAGGCUCGCUUACCAAAUCUCUAUGAUGGUCCAUUAUUCUAAUAGUUAUUGGUAAGAAAGUCUGUGGGUUUUUCCAAGUCCUCAGACCCUUGAGAUGUGUUGUGCUGUUACUGAAAAUGGAUGAAGAGGAUUGGGAAUUUACCUCCAUUCAAAGUCUUUUAUUUCUCCUCAACAUCAUUACCAAACCGUAUCGAAUUCCCUGGGGAUAUGUCUGCAGAUAUUACAUCGACCUGGAAUGGAAAAUGCAGGAGUAUUCUUAACUCUGAGUUCCCUUAGCAGCUUGUGCUCUUAGUGAGUUUUUUGGUUUUUUUUUCCCCUAUGAUCCAAAUGGUGUGGAUGGUGCUAUGUGACUAUGGAUGAAUCACCUAACUUCCCUUUUUCCCAGGCUAAUCUCUGAAACUAUAAAUUACAGAUGAAUGUCUGACCUGUACCAUUGGUUGGAAUGUCCACUCUAUCAAUUCUGAAUAAAUAAAUAAAAUCACAGGUUGGGAUUUUAAAA
rnacentral:lncRNA from 1 species